rnacentral:rRNA from 1 species
AGCGAACGCUGGCGGCAGGCCUAACACAUGCAAGUAGAACGAACCUUUCGGGGUUAGUGGCGGACGGGUGAGUAACACGUGGGAACGUGCCUUUAGGUUCGGAAUAACUCAGGGAAACUUGUGCUAAUACCGAAUGUGCCCUUCGGGGGAAAGAUUAAUCGCCUUUAGAGCGGCCCGCGUCUGAUUAGCUAGUUGGUUGAGGUAAUGGCUCACCAAGGCGACGAUCAGUAGCUGGUCUGAGAGGAUGAUCAGCCACAUUGGGACUGAGACACGGCCCAAACUCCUACGGGAGGCAGCAGUGGGGAAUCUUGCGCAAUGGGCGAAAGCCUGACGCAGCCAUGCCGCGUGAAUGAUGAAGGUCUUAGGAUUGUAAAAUUCUUUCACCGGGGACGAUAAUGACGGUACCCGGAGAAGAAGCCCCGGCUAACUUCGUG